UUCUGCAGUACUCCCUGCCCCACAGCUGAGAUCAGUUCUAAAUUUAAAGUCGCCGUGACAGAAUGGUUUCCAAAAUUGGAAAACAAGUUUUCCAUCCCCUGUUCUAGUUAAAAUUCUUCAAGUGUUUUCUUUUCCAGUUUCCGAGUUUUGUUUUUCAGAGGAAGUCAUGCUUGGACUUUCCGUUUCAGCCAGCCAGUUUGAGGAGAGGAUUGGACUCACUGCUUUGGAAUGAGUCUUGUUGAAUUGCCCAGGCUGGCUUGGAACUUAUGAGCUCUUGCCUCAGCCACCUGAGUAACUGGGAUUACAGGUGACCACGUGGCCUCAAGCAUUACCUUAAGAAUCAAUGAUUAAAAAAAAAAAUCAAUUAUAAUUUUGCCUACACCACAUCAUGUGGCAGAAACUGGGUAUGUUGUAAUUAAGACACAGAAAGUCUGCAAUUUUUCUUUGUAAUAUGAUUUGUAUUGUGAAGCAGGGACAAAAGGAACUCAGUUUCAACUUUGUAUGAAGAGCUCUUUAUGAGGAAGCUGCGUGGGGAUUGUCUCUGUUUGCCUCUAUGUCUUUGCCUCGGAAACUGCAGGGGAUAAAUCAGAGAUGAGCUUCGAGGAACUGACUUCUUAGCAGUUCAAGGAACCCAUAGCAGGCUUGUUAACACUGUGAGGCCUGAGGACAAAAUUGGCUUGAGGAAGUGAGCUCUGCCUUGAGUCUCCUCUGUUCAGCUGGUCUUGGCUGUGAACCUUCUGUAUGCCCACCCAGGACUACAAGCUGGGGGGCUGUGUCAGGGAUGUGUUACAUGGCUGUGCCUGUCACAUGCUGGCCCACCUCUACUGAGAAGCCACAAUGCAUGUGAGGUCUUCUUUCUGUUGAUAACGGAGUACCUCUCGUAUCUUCGGGGGUCUGUAAGUUCCUCUUUAAAUAUGCAGUGGAAUUGUUUGUUUCUAUUGUUAGAAAUGUAAAUGAAAAUUUCCUGAAAGAUUUAGUUAAAGGACUUCAAUGUUUAUUAAGGAAAUGUCUUGUCCCUUUCCCUAAAAUUAUAAUUUUUAAAUUAGAAAAAUGUCUUAAAGUAGAGAAAAACCUAUAUACCAAUAAACUGUUAUUUGAACCCUUAUGUGCCAAACACUGGGUAUAUCCACAUGAGAAAGCACUAUUCCCAUUUCACAGAUAAAGAAAGGGAAGGUCAAAAAACAUGACUGACUGACUUACCUAGACAUUUACUGGCUUACAGAGACUGAACUCCUGGCUGUCUAUUUGCAGCCAAGAGUAGUUACUGAGAUAGAGAGUACUGGCGUGAGAUGCAGGUGAGUUAACAGAACCUUCAGCAAAGGUAUUAAAGCUAAGAAUCUAGAAUGGUCAGUAUAUGCUGAGAUUGAGUUGAUAUCACUCAGGUGGAACUGUGGACCUCUCUGAGUUAAUAAAAUGUAACACUUAGGCAACUUUGUAGAAAACAGCCAAGAAAGCCACAUGGUCACUAGGCCAUGAACAGAACUUCUACCAUAUGACAUAGUUGGAAAGGAAGUCUGGGCUCAGUCUGAACAAAGGCUAAAGUGAUCCAGGAGAAGAAGCCAGAGUGUUGGUGGUGCCAGCUCUUUGAAAGCUCUGGGCAAGUGGGAGAGACAUAUCCUCUGGCUGAGCCUUCAUAGUUCUGGACAACGGUGGAACCAGGUAAUACUAUCUUACAUCAAGUUCUAAGGUUAGUUUAAGGUAAGUGAAGGCAUUGUAUUAGAGUUCUCCAAAGAAAUCGAACCAAAAGGGUAUGUAAAGAAGUCUGAGGUUUUGGUUCAUAUCAUUAUGGAGGCCAAGAAAUCUUCUGAUGUCUGAUGGCUGUCUACAAGUCACAGAACUAGGAAAGUCGGUGGUAUAGUUCAAUCCAAGCCUAAGAACCAGGGAAGUCCCAAUACAGGGCCAAAGCCCGAGAGCCUUGGGCUAGGAGAGGGUUGGUCGUGUAAGUCCUGGUGUCUGAAGUUCUGAGAACGAAGAGAGCUGAUAUCCAAGGGCAAGAGAACACAGAUAUCCUAGCUCCAGGAAAAGGAGAGAAAUAAUUUGCCUUCCUCUGCCUUUUUGUUGUGGCUUUUGGGCUCUCUUUUUUUAAAUUUUAUUUAUUCUAAUUUGUUAUAUAUGACUGCAGAAUGCAAUUCAAUUCAUAUUACACAUAUAGAGUUCAAUUUUUCAUGUCUCUGGUUGUAUACAAAGUAGAGUCACACUAUUCAUGUCUUCAUACAUAUACUUAGGGUAAUGAUGUCCAUCUCAUUCCACCGUCUUUCCUACCACCAUGCCCCUUCUCUUCCCCUCCCUCCCCUUUGCCCUAUCUAAAGUUUGACUAUUCCUCCCAUGCUCCCCCCAUCCU